UGCAAUGAUGUUCGUAAUUUGCGACUGACGCUACAUCGGUGGCAGUGCCUGCUGUCAUUAUGCCGUUGUGAGCUUUGUGUUGAAGACAAAAUCCUGAGCC
ensembl:snoRNA SNORD16 Small nucleolar RNA SNORD16